rnacentral:rRNA from 1 species
UACGGAGGGGGGCUAGCGUUGUUCGGAAUUACUGGGCGUAAAGCGCACGUAGGCGGCUUUGCAAGUUAGAGGUGAAAGCCCAGGGCUUAACCCUGGAAUUGCCUUUAAGACUGCAUCGCUAGAAUCGUGGAGAGGUGAGUGGAAUUCCGAGUGUAGAGGUGAAAUUCGUAGAUAUUCGGAAGAACACCAGUGGCGAAGGCGACUCACUGGACACGUAUUGACGCUGAGGUGCGAAAGCGUGGGGAGCAAACAGG